UCCACCACCUUUGCCAUUUCCAUGGCUUAGAAGCAAGUCACAGGUCCUAACUCACACUCAAGGGGAGGAGGCCACACAAAGCAAUGACCAUCAGGAGAAGAGAUUAGAGGUGCCACCUUAGCAUUUGUCUGCCACACAGUCUUCCUAAGAAAACCAAGAUCUAGAAUUUCUAGUAGAAUUUUCUUUUGUUCAUCUAAGAAUCAAUUAAUUCUUAAUUCUAAGCUUGAAGUGUAACUGCUUUUUUAUGGCUUGGGAAACUGGGCCCAUGAAAGUGCAUCACCUCCCUCAUUCUCUGGACCACCUGCUAAUUUGCUGCAGAAAGAUCAACUGUGUGAACCAAGCUGAGUGUCUUCAGCAGCCCCUGAGUUGCUGCACUGUGAACUGGGUGUACAGACUGCUAAUGCUUUGGUUGGAGUUCUUUCAACAAGGAAAUUACUCGAUGCACCAGCUUUGAAGCGACGCGGCAUAUGCAUGCUCUAGAAAGGUAAAAUGCUAAGGCCUGUCCUGCUGAAGAGUCCAGUGGUCACACCAGCUUCACAUGACGUAGGAACACAGCUUCUCCACAACCUCUGACCAUCUCCAACCUCUGAAGUGGUUCUCUGGAUCUACUGUCCCAAUAUGCUGUGUUAUUUGUAACAUGCUGAGGGCUCUGCCCCACUUACAUUCCUUACCUCUUCUAGAUGAUGCAUUAAAAUAUUUUGUGAUCCAU